GCCCUCGUAGCUCAGGGGAGAGAGCAACCGCCUCCUAAGCGGUAGGUCGCAGGUUCGAAUCCUGCCGAGGGCG
rnacentral:tRNA from 1 species